GCGUCGGUUUGUCUCGAUGUGCCCUGCGAUUGGCUGGCGUCAAGUUCAAGGGUGUACCCCGCCUCCUGCCCGUUGACAGCUGCUAUAGGCUCCAGCACUCCUGCGACCCGAGUGAGGAUAAGCGGCUAAGAAAAUGGAUGGAUGAGCGGAGGCUCAAACUGAAAGUGGAGCCCAUUUCAAAUCUCACGUAUUUCAUCUGAAAUAUGCCAUUGUGCUUCGUCUCCUCAACCACUCGUUACUGUGCCUCCGUCUCUGAUUGUCCCGAGCCGUAGUGAAACUUUAACAAGCAGCGCUUAGUAAACCGUGUCACACUGGCUUCUUCACACCAUUAAUCACAAGGGGCACCGAGGAUUUACUUCAGACAAAAGGCUUUUGUGUUUUAGAAGUUGAGAAAUACGUUUAAGCCUGGAUCAGACGACAAUAAAAGAAAAAUUUGCUCUAUCAAGAUUGCACUAUGAAAAUGUGGCCAGAUCUCGGUCACCGCACGACACCUAUUCCGAUAUCACCAUAUCUCGUCUGUAACGAUCACUGAGGUUUACAUUGUCAAAUCAAUCACUAUGGCUGGGUUGCACGUGACGUCACGCUUGUUCAUCCGGGUACUUGACCGCCAUUGUUGCAGACAAGCAGUCGGCUGUCCGUCGUCAUCGUGCCGGAUUUUUGUUGCGUCCACGGAUGUGGAAAUCGCGGAAACAGAGACAUUGGGAAGCGAUUUUUCCGUCUUCCAUAGAUUAGAUUGCAUGAAGGAGAAGAUACAAUGGAGUUAUGGAAAAGACGGCAAUAAAAGUGGCUUGCAAAUAUACGACGUGCAGAUCCGAACGAAGCUCGAGUACACAAGAGUGGUGGUAUGGUGGUGGCGGCACGGUGGAUCAGCUGGAAAGCGUUAACCUGCAUGCUUUAGCUUUGCUAAAGCUCCAGCACUCCUGUGAUCCUCGUGAGGAUAAGCAGCUGACAAAAUGGAUAAAUAGAUGGAUGGAUGGUGGAACCAUAAUGCCAGACGAUGACGAGCGACGUCCGAUCUUUUCAAAUUCAUACCUGCCGCAGCAUUGAUGAUCUCCUCCACGGCAGCAGCGGCGGCAGGUGAUGAGGAGGAUGGAGGCGAAGAUCAAC